UACGAAGGGGCUAGCGUUGCUCGGAAUCACUGGGCGUAAAGCGCACGUAGGCGGACUCUUAAGUCGGUGGUGAAAUCCUGGAGCUCAACUCCAGAACUGCCUUCGAUACUGAGAGUCUCGAGUCCGGGAGAGGUGAGUGGAACUGCGAGUGUAGAGGUGAAAUUCGUAGAUAUUCGCAAGAACACCAGUGGCGAAGCGGCUCACUGGCCCGGUACUGACGCUGAGGUGCGAAAGCGUGGGGAGC
rnacentral:rRNA from 1 species